GGAGUUAGCCGGUGCUUCUUCUGCGAGUAACGUCACAGAUGUAAGGUAUUAACUUACACCCUUUCCUCCUCGCUGAAAGUGCUUUACAACCCGAAGGCCUUCUUCACACACGCGGCAUGGCUGCAUCAGGGUUUCCCCCAUUGUGCAAUAUUCCCCACUGCUGCCUCCCGUAGGAGUCUGGGCCGUGUCUCAGUCCCAGUGUGGCUGAUCAUCCUCUCAGACCAGCUAGGGAUCGUCGCCUAGGUGAGCCUUUACCUCACCUACUAGCUAAUCCCACCUGGGCUUAUCCAUCAGCGCAAGGCCCGAAGGUCCCCUGCUUUCCCCCGUAGGGCGUAUGCGGUAUUAGCAGUCGUUUCCAACUGUUAUCCCCCACAAAUGGGCAAAUUCCCAGGCAUUACUCACCCGUCCGCCGCUCGUCAUCUUCAAAAGCAAGCUUUUGAAAUGUUACCGCUCGACUUGCAUGUGUUAGGCCUGCCGCCAGCGUUCAUCUGAGCCAGAGACACACUCUACAGAGACGGCGGCGCGACGACGCG
rnacentral:rRNA from 1 species